UGCUAGAGAGUUAGAAAACCAAGGUGAUAGUCAUUAAAGAAGCGAAAGGCUUAAAUAAGCUGCCCUUGGAAGAGUUCAAUGCACUUUGAAGAAAGCAGCUAGGAAUCCAUCCAGACUUGGUAUCUUUUCUCAAUUCAGCAACCUCAACGUAUGCUAUUGGCUCACCUAUGACUCUGACCUAAGAGGAUCACCAAACUUGAUAUGAAUUACUUUGACUACUAUGGAUAGGAUUGGAUAGGACACAAGAGUAA
rnacentral:lncRNA from 1 species